CCUACGGGGUGCAGCAGUGGGGAAUAUUGGGCAAUGGGCGCAAGCCUGACCCAGCAAUGCCGCGUGAAGGAAGAAGGCUUUCGGGUUGUAAACUUCUUUGACAGGGGAAGAGCAGAAGACGGUACCCUGAAAACAAGCCACGGCUAACUACGUGCCAGCAGCCGCGGUAAUACGUAGGUGGCAAGCGUUGUCCGGAUUUACUGGGUGUAAAGGGCGUGUAGCCGGGAAGGCAAGUCAGAUGUGAAAUCUGGAGGCUCAACCUCCAAAUUGCAUUUGAAACUGUUUUUCUUGAGUACUGGAGAGGCAGACGGAAUUCCUUGUGUAGCGGUGAAAUGCGUAGAUAUAAGGAGGAACACUAGUGGCGAAGGCGGUCUGCUGGACAGCAACUGACGGUGAGGCGCGAAAGCGUGGGGAGCAAACAGGAUUAGAUACCCCAGUAGUC
rnacentral:rRNA from 1 species